rnacentral:rRNA from 1 species
UUUGUCUCAUAGUAAUAUUUUGAAAUUAAUAUUUUAGUUAAAAAGCUAAAAUUAACUUUAAAGACAAGAAGACCCUAUUAAGCUUUACAAUUUUAUAUUAUUUUCAAACUAAUAAAAUAAUUGUUCUGCUGGGGUAGCAAAUAAAUAAAUAUUAUUUACAUAUUGUGAUAAAUAAGUCUAGAAAAAUCAAUAAUUUAUUAAAUAAUAAUAAGUUACUAUAGGGAUAACAGCAUAAUUUUUUUAAAGAGUUCUCAUCAACAAAAAAGUUUGUGACCUCGAUGUUGGAUU